AUGAACGCUGGCGGCGUGCCUCAUACCUGCAAGUCGAGCGAACAGAUGAGGAGCUUGCUCCUCUGACGUUAGCGGCGGACGGGUGAGUAACACGUGGAUAACCUACCUAUAAGACUGGGAUAACUUCGGGAAACCGGAGCUAAUACCGGAUAAUAUAUUGAACCGCAUGGUUCAAUAGUGAAAGACGGUUUUGCUGUCACCUAUAGAUGGAUCCGCGCCGCAUUAGCUAGUUGGUAAGGUAACGGCUUACCAAGGCAACGAUGCGUAGCCGACCUGAGAGGGUGAUCGGCCACACUGGAACUGAGACACGGUCCAGACUCCUACGGGAGGCAGCAGUAGGGAAUCUUCCGCAAUGGGCGAAAGCCUGACGGAGCAACGCCGCGUGAGUGAUGAAGGUCUUCGGAUCGUAAAACUCUGUUAUUAGGGAAGAACAAAUGUGUAAGUAACUAUGCACGUCUUGACGGUACCUAAUCAGAAAGCCACGGCUAACUACGUG
rnacentral:rRNA from 1 species